GGUAUCAGAAGUGCGAAUGCUGACAUAAGUAACGAUAAAGCGGGUGAAAAGCCCGCUCGCCGGAAGACCAAGGGUUCCUGUCCAACGUUAAUCGGGGCAGGGUGAGUCGACCCCUAAGGCGAGGCCGAAAGGCGUAGUCGAUGGGAAACGGGUUAAUAUUCCCGUACUUGGUGUUACUGCGAAGGGGGGACGGAGAAGGCUAUGUUGGCCGGGCGACGGUUGUCCCGGUUUAAGCGUGUAGGUGUGUGUUCCAGGUAAAUCCGGUUCACUUUAACACUGAGGCGUGAUGACGAGGCACUACGGUGCUGAAGCAACAAAUGCCCUGCUUCCAGGAAAAGCCUCUAAGCAUCAGGUAACAUCAAAUCGUACCCCAAACCGACACAGGUGGUCAGGUAGAGAAUACCAAGGCGCUUGAGAGAACUCGGGUGAAGGAACUAGGCAAAAUGGUGCCGUAACUUCGGGAGAAGGCACGCUGACAUGUAGGUGAAGUGAUUUACUCAUGGAGCUGAAGUCAGUCGAAGAUACCAGCUGGCUGCAACUGUUUAUUAAAAACACAGCACUGUGCAAACACGAAAGUGGACGUAUACGGUGUGACGCCUGCCCGGUGCCGGAAGGUUAAUUGAUGGGGUCAGCGCAAGCGAAGCUCCUGAUCGAAGCCCCGGUAAACGGCGGCCGUAACUAUAACGGUCCUAAGGUAGCGAAAUUCCUUGUCGGGUAAGUUCCGACCUGCACGAAUGGCGUAAUGAUGGCCAGGCUGUCUCCACCCGAGACUCAGUGAAAUUGAACUCGCUGUGAAGAUGCAGUGUACCCGCGGCAAGACGGAAAGACCCCGUGAACCUUUACUAUAGCUUGACACUGAACAUUGAGCCUUGAUGUGUAGGAUAGGUGGGAGGCUUUGAAGCGUGGACGCCAGUCUGCGUGGAGCCGGCCUUGAAAUACCACCCUUUAAUGUUUGAUGUUCUAACGUGGACCCGUAAUCCGGGUUGCGGACAGUGUCUGGUGGGUAGUUUGACUGGGGCGGUCUCCUCCUAAAGAGUAACGGAGGAGCACGAAGGUUGGCUAAUCCUGGUCGGACAUCAGGAGGUUAGUGCAAUGGCAUAAGCCAGCUUGACUGCGAGCGUGACGGCGCGAGCAGGUGCGAAAGCAGGUCAUAGUGAUCCGGUGGUUCUGAAUGGAAGGGCCAUCGCUCAACGGAUAAAAGGUACUCCGGGGAUAACAGGCUGAUACCGCCCAAGAGUUCAUAUCGACGGCGGUGUUUGGCACCUCGAUGUCGGCUCAUCACAUCCUGGGGCUGAAGUAGGUCCCAAGGGUAUGGCUGUUCGCCAUUUAAAGUGGUACGCGAGCUGGGUUUAGAACGUCGUGAGACAGUUCGGUCCCUAUCUGCCGUGGGCGCUGGAGAACUGAGGGGGGCUGCUCCUAGUACGAGAGGACCGGAGUGGACGCAUCACUGGUGUUCGGGUUGUCAUGCCAAUGGCACUGCCCGGUAGCUAAAUGCGGAAGAGAUAAGUGCUGAAAGCAUCUAAGCACGAAACUUGCCCCGAGAUGAGUUCU
rnacentral:rRNA from 1 species